rnacentral:lncRNA from 1 species
AGACCAAGUCCGGAAGAGCUGCUUGAACGCGGCCGACUCGGCGCCGUCGUUCACCACCUCCACGUUGGUGUAGGUCGGGUAGCCCUUGGCCUGGAUGAAGCCCUGGGGCGGAAGGCAUCGUCAGUCCUGCGACCCUGAGAGUCCACUGCCCCACUGCCGCUCCUGGGGACCUACCGCUCUGGGACAGCCGAGCUCCAAGAAGCGUUAAUUAACCGAGCUCAUGACCCACUUAGCGAAUUGACUCUGUCACCACCGACUUCUCUGAGGUCCCUGAGGGCAGGCAGGGCCCCCUUAGUCUAGGCCUCGUGCAGGACAGGCCAUGUCAAC